rnacentral:rRNA from 1 species
AAUAGAUACCCAGGUAGUCCACGCCGUAAACGUUGGAUACUAGGUGUGGCGGUUAUACCAAUGACUGCCGUGCCGAAGCUAACGCAUUAAGUAUCCCGCCUGGGGAGUACGGCCGCAAGGCUAAAACUCAAAGGAAUUGACGGGUCCCCGCACAAGCGGCGGAGCAUGCGGCUUAAUUCGAUGCAACCCGAAGAACCUUACCUGGGUUUGACAUCACGGGAAAAGCUGUAGAAAUACAGUGUCCAUUAGGGCCCGUGACAGGUGGUGCAUGGCUGUCGUCAGCUCGUGUCGUGAGAUGUUGGGUUAAGUCCCGCAACGAGCGCAACCCUUGUCCUAUGUUGCCAGCGGUUCGGCCGGGGACUCAUAGGAGACUGCCGGGGAUAACUCGGAGGAAGGUGAGGACGACGUCAAGUCAUCAUGCCCCUUAUAUCCAGGGCUGCACGCAUGCUACAAUGGCCGGUACAACGGGCAGCGACCCCGCGAGGGUGAGCGAAUCCUAAAAAGCCGGUCCUAGUUUGGAUUGAAGUCUGCAACUCGACUU